rnacentral:rRNA from 1 species
UACGUAGGGAGCGAGCGUUAUCCGGAUUUACUGGGUGUAAAGGGCGCGUAGGCGGGUACGUAAGUCAGGUGUGAAAUGCCGCAGCUUAACUGCGGAGCUGCAUUUGAAACUGCGUAUCUUGAGUGAUGGAGGGGCAGGCGGAAUUCCCGGUGUAGCGGUGGAAUGCGUAGAUAUCGGGAGGAACACCAGUGGCGAAGGCGGCCUGCUGGACAUUUACUGACGCUGAGGCGCGAAAGCGUGGGGAGCAAACAGG